CAGUAUAUUCAAGCUGAACAGAUCUGAAGGAGGAGCCUCUGGAGGCUGCAGAUUCCUGGUUCACCAAUGGCAGCAGCUUUAUUAAAGAUGGUAAAUGAAGAGCAGGAUAUGCCAUAACUACAACUUCAAAGGUAAUAGAAGCUAAACCAUUACCCUCUAACACCUCAGCACAAAAGGCAGAAAUAAUAGCCCUGACUAGAGCCUUGGAGUUGGCAAAGGACAAGCGAUAAACAUAUGAACUGAUUCCAAAUAUGCCUUUGGUGUAGUUCAUGCACAUGGAGCAAUUUGGAAAGAAUGAGGACUUUUAAAUACCCAGGGAAGACAAAUUAAACAUGCAAUGGAAAUUCUACGAUUGUUAGAAACUGUACAAUUACCCAAUGAAGUAGCUAUCAUACAUUGUAAAGGUCAUCAAAGAGGUAACUCUUAUCAAGAGAUUGGAAAUAAUUUUGCUGAUCGUGAGGCUAAACGGGCAGCAGAAACAGAAAGAGUUGAGGUGAUGUCCUUAAUUCCUGACGGUAAACUGGUAAUUAAGCAAAAUAAACCUAGGUACUCUAAAGAAGAUAUGAAACUAAUUGAAGACUUGGAAGGACAGGAAAAUGAAAAGGGUUGGAUAAAAAUACCUGAUGGGUGAGUAGUGAUCCCCUAUAAUCAAUUAUGGAAGUUGUUACAAGAAGAACAUAACAAAAGUCAUUGGAGAAGUAAUGCCUUGUAUAAACAUUUAAACA